CCUUCUUGACGAACCGUGAUGUCAUUAAUUUGGUGUUGCGGGAAAUCAGGACUGUUACUUUGAAAAAAUUAGAGUGUUUAAAGCAGGCUAACGCUUGAAUACAUUAGCAUGGAAUAAUGAAAUAGGACGUUUGAUUCUAUUUUGUUGGUUUCUAGGAUCGACGUAAUGAUUAAUAGGGAUAGUUGGGGGCAUUAGUAUUCAAUUGUCAGAGGUGAAAUUCUUGGAUUUAUUGAAGACUAACUACUGCGAAAGCAUUUGCCAAGGAUGUUUUCAUUAAUCAAGAACGAAAGUUAGGGGAUCGAAGACGAUCAGAUACCGUCGUAGUCUUAACCAUAAACUAUGCCGACUAGGGAUCGGAUGAUGUUAAUUUUUUAAUGACUCAUUCGGCGCCUUACG
rnacentral:rRNA from 1 species